GGCGCUGGGGUCCCGCCGUGCGGCCGGCUCCGCCUCGCCUGCAGCCUGCCGCCGCCUCCUGUUAAAGGUUGCCUGGCUGAGUGUGCCACGCGCAGAGGCCAAACCUGUCCGCAGUCCCGCGGGACCCGCGCGUUGUUCACUCCAGCAGGGCCGAAGAAGAUCCGAGAGAGUCCAGCAGCACAGCAGAUGCAAGGGACAGGCAUGGAUGUUGAGCUCCUGGGGACUCAGCCCUCUAUGGGGAAAGCAGAGCACCAUCUAACACCAGAGGACUAAAGUGCAGCCAGAGCAUCGCCCGAGCCAUCCCAGGGGAUGGAGGGCCCCUGGGAAAUACUUCAAAGGCAAGUGCAGCUGCUGCCUGCUGUGGAUUCUGUGAGGCCUCUAGGAUGACAUGGCUCGAAGCUUCUUCACUGGAGCCCAGGGUUUCAGCUUUCCAGACUUUUGUCUUCAAUCUGCCAUUCCAGAAGAUGAAUUGCUGGGUCAACAGUGUGGACAUUUUUAUGACUCAAUACAUAUUGUCAAAUUGCUUUCUCAAAGGACAGUACAAUAUACAGUACCCCCAAUUUUAUUAUUCUCUUAUCAGCGUUAGGUAUUGUAAAUACAAAUUAAUUUGUUUCUAAUUUUAUAGGUAAAAAUGAGGACUUAAUUUCAUUUGUAUUUUUCUUACCAGUGAGGUUGAAUAUUUUAAUAUGUUUGUUUAUUAAUUGCAUUUCACCUCUCUGAACUGUCUUCCUUUCUGCUUAUUUACUGAUAGCACAUGCCUAUACAAAGGAAAUAAGAUGAUAUCUUAUCAGGGAAACCUUUUUCCUCAGGCCCUGUGACCUUCUGGGAAAUUAUUGACUGAUAUCAGAUUAUCAAAGUCAAUCUUUUACAUGAGAACACUGGGGAGGGAGUGAUUGAAAAGACUUAGGUGAUACGGGGUGAAGACGGAAGAACUGAAUGAAUAAGACUCUAGGUAAUGAUGUGGGUUGCAGAGAUGAGGGAGGUGGAAAGAAUUUAUGAGUCGGGAUGGAAAUUUCAUGGGCAGCAUAGAGAACAUGCAGGGCUCAGAGUUCUCCAUCUCUCAGCUUCCAAAUGGAGCUCUGGGUGACCCAGACAGCAAUGAUUAGGUUUCAGAAUGCUGACCUAGACAUUGUCAUCUCUGCCACGUGCUACAGACUUGAAAACAGAUUGGACCGAGGAAGGAUUUUGCUUAAGCCUUAGAUGAGCAGUUACUAAGCCCCAUACCCUUUUUUUAUCCAGAUAGCCUUUAGUUUCACCAUUGUUAACAAUCUAUGUUAAUUAAUUUGAUAUCUAGAUUUAUUGGUAUUAUACUUUAUAUUUCUUUUAUUACUAAUUUUCAUAGAUUUCUUUGAUCACUUUUCACGUGUAUGUAUGUAUACAUAUAUGAAGUUAAAGAGUAUAUACAUUUAGAAGUGUGAUAAGGAAUUCCAAAUUGCUCUUCAAAAAAGGCAUGUAAACGUGAAUACUUCGGAGCUUAAGUAGGAGAUACGUAGGUGUUCAUUAUAUUACUACCCUCAGUCCAAUUUGUUUUCAAGUCUGCAGUACCUGUGACAUUAGUGUAUUUUAUGUGCGGCUCCAGACAAUUAGUCUUCAUCUAAUGUAGCCCAGGGAGGCCAAAGAUUGGUCACCCCAACAUAGAGCUUAAGUGUAAGUAUAUACAUGUGUAGUAUCCACCCAUACUAUUUUAUUACUGUUUUUCAUACGUGUGUGUCUGUGUGUGUGUGUGUGUGUGUGUGUGUGUGUGUCU